CCCAUUCGAUGUCGACAGAGUUUGAUCCUGGCUCAGGAUGAACGCUGGCGGCGUGCUUAACACAUGCAAGUCGAACGAUGACUUUUGUGCUUGCACAGAAUGAUUAGUGGCGAACGGGUGAGUAACACGUGAGUAACCUGCCCCUGACUCUGGGAUAAGCCUGGGAAACUGGGUCUAAUACCGGAUAUGCACCGUGGACCGCAUGGUUCUUGGUGGAAAGAAUUUUGGUCAGGGAUGGACUCGCGGCCUAUCAGCUUGUUGGUGAGGUAAUGGCUCACCAAGGCGACGACGGGUAGCCGGCCUGAGAGGGUGACCGGCCACACUGGGACUGAGACACGGCCCAGACUCCUACGGGAGGCAGCAGUGGGGAAUAUUGCACAAUGGGCGAAAGCCUGAUGCAGCGACGCCGCGUGAGGGAUGACGGCCUUCGGGUUGUAAACCUCUUUCAGUAGGGAAAGAAACCAAAGUGACGGUACCUUGCAGAAGAAGCGCCGGCUAACUACGUGCCAGCAGCCCGCGGUAAUACGU
rnacentral:rRNA from 1 species